rnacentral:rRNA from 1 species
GACGAACGCUGGCGGCGUGCUUAACACAUGCAAGUCGAACGGAAAGGCCCUGCUUUUGUGGGGUGCUCGAGUGGCGAACGGGUGAGUAACACGUGAGUAACCUGCCCUUGACUUUGGGAUAACUUCAGGAAACUGGGGCUAAUACCGGAUAGGAGCUCCUGCUGCAUGGUGGGGGUUGGAAAGUUUCGGCGGUUGGGGAUGGACUCGCGGCUUAUCAGCUUGUUGGUGGGGUAGUGGCUUACCAAGGCUUUGACGGGUAGCCGGCACGAGAGGGUGACCGGCCACAUUGGGACUGAGAUACGGACCAGAGUGCUAUGGGAGGCAGAAGUGGGGAAUAUUGCACAAUGGGCGGAAGCCGGAUGCAGCAACGCCGCGUGCGGGAUGGCGGCCUUCGGGUUGUAAACCGCUUUCGCCUGUGACGAAGCGUGAGUGACGGUAAUGGGUAAAGAAGCACCGGCUAACUACGUG